AUACGCUCAGUAACACGUGGUUAACCUGCCUAAGGUGGUGAAUACUCCCGGGAAACUGGGGCUAAUGCACCAUAGUGGAUACUUGCUGGAAUGCUGUAUCCUCGAAAGAUCCGUCGCCUUAGGAUGGGACUGCGUCCGAUUAGGUAGUUGGUGGGGUAACGGCCCACCAAGCCUGUCAUCGGUACGGGUUGUGGGAGCAAGAUCCCGGAGAUGGAUUCUGAGACAUGAAUCCAGGCCCUACGGGGCGCAGCAGGCGCGCAAACUUUACAAUGCGAGCAAUCGUGAUAAGGAAACCCUGAGUGCCUGUCGAUGCAGGCUGUUCAUCUGUUUAAAUUGCAGGUGAAGAAAGGGCAGGGCAAGACCGGUGCCAGCCGCCGCGGUAAUACCGGCUGCUYGAGUGAUAUCCCAUUAUUACUGGGUUUAAAGCGUCCGUAGCUUGACUGAUAGGUCUCUUGGGAAAUCUUAACGCUUAACGUUAAGGCGUCUAAGAGAUACCGUCAGUCUUGGAACUGGGAGAGGUAAACCGUACUUCGGGGGUAGGAGUGAAAUCUUGUAAUCCUCGAGGGACGACCUAUGGCGAAGGCAGUUUACCAGAACAGCUUCGACAGUGAGGGACGAAAGCUGGGGGAGCAAACGGGAUUAGAUACCCCGGUAGUCCCAGCCGUAAACAAUGUGCGUUAGGUGUAUCGGUAACCACGCGUUACUGAUGCGCCGCAGAGAAAUCGUGAAACGCACCACCUGG
rnacentral:rRNA from 1 species